rnacentral:tRNA from 1 species
CGGGACGUGGCGCAGGGGUAGCGCGCUGGUCUGGGGGACCAGAGGCCGGGAGUUCGAGACUGCCCGUCCCGA